AGUUUUCUUUUCUGUUUUAUAGCCGUACUACCAUGGAAGUCUUUCGCAGAGAGAUAUGGUAGAUGGGCUAGAAGAGCAUGACAUAUACUGUUGUGUCGAUAUUUUCUCCUCGGACCUUGAAAAUUUAUGGUGGGGACACGCAAACUUCUCAACAGGCCGUACCAAUAUCCGCAGCUGGUCUCCAAGGUGAAGAGUCUCUAGUCGAUAGAAUAAUGUAGGUAAGGGAAGUCGGCAAAUUAGAUCCGUAACUUCGGGAUAAGGAUUGGCUCUGAAGAUUGAGAUAGUCGGGCUUGAUUGGGAAACAAUAACAUGGUUUAUGUGCUCGUUCUGGGUAAAUAGAGUUUCUAGCAUUUAUGUUAGUUACUUGUUCCCCGGAUAGUUUAGUUACGUAGCCAAUUGUGGAACUUUCUUGCUAAAAUUUUUAAGAAUACUAUUUGGGUUAAACCAAUUAGUUCUUAUUAAUUAUAACGAUUAUCAAUUAACAAUCAAUUCAGAACUGGCACGGACUUGGGGAAUCCGACUGUCUAAUUAAAACAAAGCAUUGUGAUGGCCCUAGCGGGUGUUGACACAAUGUGAUUUCUGCCCAGUGCUCUGAAUGUCAAAGUGAAGAAAUUCAAGUAAGCGCGGGUCAACGGCGGGAGUAACUAUGACUCUCUUAAGGUAGCCAAAUGCCUCGUCAUCUAAUUAGUGACGCGCAUGAAUGGAUUAACGAGAUUCCUACUGUCCCUAUCUACUAUCUAGCGAAACCACAGCCAAGGGAACGGGCUUGGAAUAAUUAGCGGGGAAAGAAGACCCUUUUGAGCUUGACUCUAAUCUGGCAGUGUAAGGAGACAUAAGAGGUGUAGAAUAAGUGGGAGAUAUUAGACCUCGGUUUGGUAUCGUCAAUGAAAUACCACUACUCUUAUUGUUUCCUUACUUACUUGAUUAAAUGGAACGUGUAUCAUUUCCUAGCCAUUAUACGGAUAUAUUUAUUAUAUCUUAUGGUAUUGGGUUUUGAUGCAAGCUUCUUGAUCAAAGUAUCACGAGUUUGUUAUAUAAUCGCAAACAAAUUCUUUAAUAAAACGAUGCAUUUAUGUAUUUUUGAUUUGAAAAUUUGGUAUAACUCCAAUUACUCAGGUAUGAUCCAAUUCAAGGACAUUGCCAGGUAGGGAGUUUGACUGGGGCGGUACAUCUCUCAAAUAAUAACGGAGGUGUCCCAAGGCCAGCUCAGUGCGGACAGAAACCACACAUAGAGCAAAAGGGCAAAUGCUGACUUGAUCUCGGUGUUCAGUACACACAGGGACAGCAAAAGCUCGGCCUAUCGAUCCUUUUGGUUUAAAGAGUUUUUAACAAGAGGUGUCAGAAAAGUUACCAUAGGGAUAACUGGCUUGUGGCGGCCAAGCGUUCAUAGCGACGUCGCUUUUUGAUCCUUCGAUGUCGGCUCUUCCUAUCAUUGUGAAGCAAAAUUCACCAAGCGUUGGAUUGUUCACCCAUGCAAGGGAACGUGAGCUGGGUUUAGACCGUCGUGAGACAGGUUAGUUUUACCCUACUAAUGACAAAACGUUGUUGCGACAGCAUUCCUGCGUAGUACGAGAGGAACCGCAGGUACGGACCAAUGGCACAAUACUUGUUCGAGCGAACAGUGGUAUGACGCUACGUCCGUUGGAUUAUGCCUGAACGCCUCUAAGGUCGUAUCCGUGCUGGACUGCAAUGAUAAAUAAGGGGCAAUUUGCAUUGU
rnacentral:rRNA from 1 species